rnacentral:rRNA from 1 species
CCUACGGGAGGCUGCAGUGGGGAAUAUUGGACAAUGGGGGCAACCCUGAUCCAGCCAUGCCGCGUGUGUGAAGAAGGCCCUCGGGUUGUAAAGCACUUUCAGUGAGGAAGAACGCCUGGUGGUUAAUACCCAUCAGGAAAGACAUCACUCACAGAAGAAGCACCGGCUAACUCCGUGCCAGCAGCCGCGGUAAUACGGAGGGUGCGAGCGUUAAUCGGAAUUACUGGGCGUAAAGCGCGCGUAGGUGGCUUGAUAAGCCGGUUGUGAAAGCCCCGGGCUCAACCUGGGAACGGCAUCCGGAACUGUCAAGCUAGAGUGCAGGAGAGGAAGGUAGAAUUCCCGGUGUAGCGGUGAAAUGCGUAGAGAUCGGGAGGAACACCAGUGGCGAAGGCGGCCUUCUGGACUGACACUGACACUGAGGUGCGAAAGCGUGGGUAGCAAACAGGAUUAGAUACCCUUGUAGUC